CUUCGGUCCUGCGAUCAGUGGCGAACGGGUGCGUAACACGUGGGCAACCUGCCCCAGACUCUGGGAUAACCCCGGGAAACCGGAGCUAAUACCGGAUACUUUCACGGAACCACAUGGCUCUGUGAUGAAAGAACUUCGGUCUGGGAUGGGCCCGCGGCCUAUCAGCUUGUUGGUGAGGUAACGGCUCACCAAGGCGACGACGGGUAGCUGGUCUGAGAGGACGACCAGCCACACUGGGACUGAGAUACGGCCCAGACUCCUACGGGAGGCAGCAGUGGGGAAUCUUGCGCAAUGGGCGAAAGCCUGACGCAGCGACGCCGCGUGGGGGAUGAAGGCCUUCGGGUUGUAAACCCCUUUCGACAGGGAAGAAGCGAAAGUGACGGUACCUGUAGAAGAAGUCCCGGCUAACUACGUGCCAGCAGCCGCGGUAAGACGUAGGGGACGAGCGUUGUCCGGAUUUAUUGGGCGUAAAGCGCACGCAGGCGGCUUGGUAAGUCGGGUGUGAAAAUCCGAGGCUCAACCUCGGACGUGCACCCGAAACUGCCCGGCUAGAGGUAGGUAGGGGAGAUCGGAAUUCCUGGUGUAGCGGUGAAAUGCGCAGAUAUCAGGAGGAACACCGGUGGCGAAGGCGGAUCUCUGGGCCUUACCUGACGCUCAUGUGCGAAAGCUAGGGGAGCGAACAGGAUUA
rnacentral:rRNA from 1 species